rnacentral:rRNA from 1 species
AAUGAGCCUGCGAGUUGUGGUGUCUGGCAAGGUUAAGCAAACGCGAAGCCGUAGCGAAAGCGAGUCUGAAUAGGGCGCUUAGUCAGAUGCUGCAGACCCGAAACGAAGUGAUCUAUCCAUGAGCAAGUUGAAGCUAGUGUAAGAACUAGUGGAGGACUGAACCCAUAGGCGUUGAAAAGCCCCGGGAUGACUUGUGGAUAGGGGUGAAAGGCCAAUCAAACUUCGUGAUAGCUGGUUCUCUCCGAAAUAUAUUUAGGUAUAGCGUUGUGUCGUAAUAUAAGGGGGUAGAGCACUGAAUGGGCUAGGGCAUACACCAAUGUACCAAACCCUAUCAAACUCCGAAUACCUUAUAUGUAAUCACAGCAGUCAGGCGGCGAGUGAUAAAAUCCGUCGUCAAGAGGGAAACAACCCAGACUACCAGCUAAGGUCCCUAAAUCUUACUUAAGUGGAAAACGAUGUGAAGUUACUUAAACAACCAGGAGGUUGGCUUAGAAGCAGCCAUCCUUUAAAGAAAGCGUAAUAGCUCACUGGUCUAGUGAUUUUGCGCGGAAAAUAUAACGGGGCUAAAGUAAGUACCGAAGCUGUAGACUUGCGCACAACUUAGAUUAUUUAAGUUUAGAAUAUGAGAAACUAAGUUAUGUUU